UUACUCGCCGUGAAAACCCAUC
rnacentral:siRNA from 1 species